CCUACGGGAGGCAGCAGUGAGGAAUAUUGGUCAAUGGGCGUAAGACUGAACCAGCCAAGCCGCGUGAGGGAUGAAGGUACUAUGGAUCGUAAACCUCUUUUAUAAGGGAAUAAAGUCCGGGACGCGUCCCGUUCUGUAUGUACCUUAUGAAUAAGGAUCGGCUAACUCCGUGCCAGCCGCCGCGGUAAUACGGAGGAUCCGAGCGUUAUCCGGAUUUAUUGGGUUUAAAGGGUGCGUAGGCGGCCUUUUAAGUCAGCGGUGAAAGUCUGUGGCUCAACCCUAGAAUUGCCGUUGAAACUGGGAGUCUUGAGUAUGUGAGAGGCAGGCGGAAUGCGUGGUGUAGCGGUGAAAUGCAUAGAUAUCGCGCAGAACCCCGAUUGCGAAGGCAGCCUGCCAAGCCAUGACUGACGCUGAUGCACGAAAGCGUGGGGAUCGAACAGGAUUAGAUACCCCAGUAGUC
rnacentral:rRNA from 1 species